rnacentral:lncRNA from 10 species
GGAAUAUAACAAAAAUAGCACAAAAUAAGGAAACAGUAGUGAAAGUUACAUAGGACUGAAAUUUCUGUAUCUCCCUAGAAGUUAGUUAGUAUAAAUCUGAAGUUCAUUCUGAUCAGUUAAGAUUUAUAUGGUAAGCCCCAGAGCAACAACUACAAAAACAAUUUUUAAAAAGUGAAAAUAUCAUUAAAGGAAUUGAAAUAUUACCCCAGGAAAUAUUCACUUAAUUCCAAAGAAAGCAGUAAAUGAGGGAUAGAAAAACAGGAUACCUAUAAAAAAUAGCGUAGAAGAUUUAAAUCCAACUAUAGCAAUAAUACAUUUAAUGUGAAUGGGGUAAACAAUCCAAUCAAAAUACAGAUAUAGUCUGAUGAGAGUAUAGAGAUAUCCAAAUAUAUGGUGUUUAAGGGAGACAAAUUUCAGAUUGAAAAAUUCAAAUAGAUAAUAAAGGAAGGAGAAAAAAUUAUGCAAAAAGUUUCUGUAAGAAAGCUGGAGUAGCUCUGGUAAUGUCAGACAAAUUAGACUUAAUAAAAAAAAAGUGUUACUAAAGUGUAUCUCUUUAAAAGUUAAGUGCUGUACUUUUUC